rnacentral:rRNA from 1 species
UACGAAGGGGGCGAGCGUUGUUCGGAUUUACUGGGCGUAAAGCGCGCGCAGGCGGCCCUUUAAGUCCGUCGGUCAAAUGCCGGGGCUCAACCCCGAUGCAUGCCGAGGAUACUGGAGGGCUGGAGACACGUAGAGGCAAGCGGAAUUCCGGGUGUAGCGGUGGAAUGCGUAGAGAUCCGGAAGAACACCGGAGGCGAAGGCGGCUUGCUGGGCGUGAUCUGACGCUGAGGCGCGAAAGCGUGGGGAGCGAACAGG